UCGGGAAUUUUGGGCAAUGGGGGAAACCCUGACCCAGCAACGCCGCGUGAAGGAUGAAGUAUUUCGGUAUGUAAACUUCGAAAGAAUAGGAAGAAUAGAUGACGGUACUAUUUAUAAGGUCCGGCUAACUACGUGCCAGCAGCCGCGGUAAUACGUAGGGACCAAGCGUUGUUCGGAUUUACUGGGCGUAAAGGGCGCGUAGGCGGCAAUUCAAGUCAUCUGUGAAAUCUCCGGGCUUAACUCGGAACGGUCAGAUGAUACUGCUUUGCUAGAGUGCAGAAGGGGCAAUCGGAAUUCUUGGUGUAGCGGUGAAAUGCGUAGAUAUCAAGAGGAACACCUGAGGUGAAGACGGGUUGCUGGGCUGACACUGACGCUGAGGCGCGAAAGCCAGGGGAGCAAACGGGAUUAGAUACCCAAGUAGUCCCUGAGCGGGCUGGCAAGGCGCAU
rnacentral:rRNA from 1 species